rnacentral:miRNA from 1 species
UCUCCAUGCUGGGAGCUGCCUUU